rnacentral:lncRNA from 1 species
AAGCUUUAGGGCUUUUUAAAUCUCUUACAACCGCUGUACUUCAUUUUUGUCAUCUUGUACAUGUGUAAAAUUGUAUCACUCCCAUUUACAGUUCGUUAGUAGGGUAAUUCAUUGAAAAGUCUCUGUGUGAAACAGUGACAUCUAGUGAGCAGACUGUGGCAGACAUAAAAACUGUCCAUAAUAUUGUGCACUAAUUCUUUGAACUAUGAUGACAAUCCCAACAUUCUUGGUUUGUAUUGACAGAGCCUAAUAGGGGUUAUUUGGCUGUGGUAUAAACAGUUGGCUCGGUGACUGAGGGCUUCUGCAGGAAAAGUACAUAUCUCGAUUAUUCACUGACUGAAUUUUCAACAGAGUCACUUCAGAACAGUAGAUUCUUGCUUUGUCCGAGACCAGCAGGACUUUCUGUUUAAGUUGACAGGGAAAGGUCAAACAGGAGCAAACCUAGCGAGCAUGAUAUAACAUGCAAGACUGUGAGAUUGUCCCAGAGGACUAUGACUGGAUGAGUGGUACCAAACCCUGCUGACAAGGUCCAGAACAUUCUCCUUUAAAAGUCAAGACCCAUUUUUCUCAGAACAGCAGGAACUAAAUCCAACAGGAAGAGGGGAGGUGAAAGAGAGCAGUUUGUGUGUGUGUGUGUGUGUGUGUGUGUAUGUGUGCGUGCAUGUGUGUGUGUGUCGUUGUGCAUAUGAAUCAGUGUGUGUGCAUGACAGAGGGCCUGUUUUGCAAGGCUGUGGCUGAACUUCUAGUAUCUCUGGAACUGGCUUUCGCCCAAACCCUGACACAUCUGUCCAGAAUCUGAAGACAAAGAAGAAGGAAGAGGGGGGGCAAAAUUGUGUGUGUGUAUCUGUGUGCCUCUGUGUGUGUGUCUGUGUGUGCCUGACAGGACAUUCUGUAAAACUUCUGCUCAUGUGAUGGUUAGUUUUAUAUAACUUUCAAACACAUUACUGUGCAUACUUCAUUGAGCAUGCUGGAGCUGCUAACAUGCACACACAUCCACACGUGUUUAGUAUCUGUGAAGAGCAGGGUUAAGUAAGCAGUUAGCGCUGAUAACCCUGACAUUAGUCUGGCUACUCUCAUUGGCUUAUCUCUCUAUGAUGUCCUCAAACUCCCUGGCUGGCAGCCAACAGAAACAGGACAAGGGAAAGCUCUGCCCCAAUCAAUGGCAAGAAAACAUGCUGAGCUGAGACACAGGAAAGGAGCGAAUGAGGGAACCGAUGAAAGGUCUGACAUUUCAGGUCUUGGUUAUUGUUAGUGGCCAGUCUGACAGGGCUGUGUUAAUUCACACAUGUGUUUUUAUAUUGGCUAUCUCCAGAUGUUGAAACAGUGUGUGGUUAGCAAGCUAAAAAAAAAAGAGACACAAAAUUUGAAACUGAGCAGGUUGCCUUGUCCUCUCGUCGAACAAACUGCACUGGCUAUAUUUCAGUUUCCAAUAGAGGUAUGAUACAAUGUCAACAGCGAAAGGAGGGAUAGCAUGGAUGGUUAUAAAUUUGUUUAGAACAUUUUUUUUCUUCUUCUUCUUCUUUUUGUGGUUGAAAUUUUUCCUUAAAAGUCAGCAGAUUAGAUUUGAAGGACUAAAACUAACUAUAACUAACUCAACAAUCUGAAAGCACAGCCUUGAUGGUGUUGUAUUUAGGCCGGAUCUCAGGCUGGAGCUCAGUACAGCUAUGCUUGUUAUGACAAAAGGUCACCAAAGUCAGUAGGUUAUGUGCUUUUGGUAAUGCAGCCUAUGUUUGAAUGUCCAGAUUCUGAAUGCAAAAUGUUUUAAUGUACUAAAAAAACAUGAAGGAAUGAAUUUUGAAAUGUCAAACAACCCAGUGUCAACAUUAAGGUACAUUGCGUGAACCGAUUAAUGGUGCAGUGUGUAUUAACAUUUUCUAGAUAAAGGGCAGUUUUAGUUAAACCAGGUUUGUCAAGAGUUAAACUGUAGACACUUGGACUAUUCAAUGAAUUUAUACAUAUCAUUAAAUCUUUCAUCUUCAAACUCUUAAUAUCAUUUUUUUAUAUUAGUGCUCUUAAGGGUGUCUGUUAUUGAGAUGCUAAUAAUGACAGUGUAUUUAAUGAAAACGCUAACAGGAAGUUAACUGUAACCCUAACAAAUACCCAUAGAAUCUAUAGGGAUUUUAGCUGUGAGCUAAAUUUUUGUUGGUUCUGCUCACAAAUUCAUAUCGUAUACUUUGAUUUUGGCCACAGCAGACCACAGUUUUUUACUUACAACGCACCAUACAAGACAAAACAGGAAACAGACACAUAAAACAUCUAAAUUGUGAAUGUAGAGUGCAGCUAAAUAUCUUGAUUUUUCUCUGAGGAAAUGGAGGGUGGGGCGUCGAUAACAGAGUUAAAAGUGGAGAAAACACUGAACUUUAAUCAAGCAGGUUGUUGGAAACAAACCAAACCAUUAUCCUGCUGGAUGAUUACUGGAAACAUAAAUGCACCCCGUCUUUUUUAACAAUUUGAUUCUGUAUUCUGUUUUUGAGUCUUCUGUGCUGCCUUUGAAUGGCCGUAAAAAUAUUAUUGGGAAGAAAUUUCAGAAAAAGUGCUUGCAUGGUGACUGUUUUGAGUUGUACACAUGAAAAUAGAAGCAAAAACACAACAGUGUUAUGGCCUAGUCUCAGGUUAGGGUGGGAUGGAGCAGCUGGCCUUUGAGUGAAAAUCUGGUUUAAAGUCAUUAUUCUGCUGUCCAGACCAGAGCAGACCUGUUUUUAUCAGAGGAAUAGUCUUGGUAGAAGCUUUGAUGAAGGGACAGUCUGAGAGAACGAGGAAAGGGCUUUCAAUCCAAAACUAUGAGUGAAUAUAUGCAUACAUUGGGAUGGUUUUAAAAGGGACAACAUACUAAUCCUCUACUGUGGGAUAAAAUUGAAAACCUUUCUUUUUAAUUGACAGCAUCUCUCUCUCUAUCUCUCUGCAGUGCAUCUCUCUGUCUCAGUGCAUCUAUAUGUCAUUGAAUGGGUAAGAUUGUCAUGGUUGAACGAAGUGAAGUGAGCGCUGCAACUUACACACACACAAACACAGAGACACACACAGUCUCACACCGAGUGGUUCUGUCAAAGUGAGCCCCUAAAUAUAGCAAUAGCACCGUGUUAUUAUCACAGCAGGGGAGGUGCUCUGUUAUCUCUCACCCUUCACUCCCAUUGUUUUACUACUCCGGUAGAUGACAGCUUCACAAGGACUGGGGUCUAUUUGCUCUGUAUAUGGCCUGUUACAUAAGACUUGCAUGGACACUGGUUAUUUUGUUGUGUUUUCCACUAGCAACAGUUCUCGUGUCAAGAUUUAGGUGCCAGGAAGGAAAAAAAAACUCCCCUGCUUUGUGCCACAGUCACACCCAGUCUGAGAAAGUUUGUUUUAUUUGUGUUUUGAUCUUAAACUGUAUCAGCGUCAGUCAAAGUGAAAAGGUUUAAAAUGGUCCUCCUGUAGUGGUAUCAUCAGAUGAGGGAAAUAUGGGUCAUGGUUAAAUUCAAGAGACACCUGUAACUGCAUAUAAGCAACAGUUGGACUUAGCUGAACAUGUGAUGAGGAGGGCCUCUGCUCUGAAACCUGCCUUCUACAAUGCAGUCCCACUCACCAGAGAGCAUUGUUUCAUUUCUUCCUUUGUUACAAAGCAACGACAUGAAAAUGUCUGUCAAGGGCUUGCUGAGUCAUCCAUUCAGAACUGGCCACAGUGAACAGCAUGAUGAGAGGUGGUGGUCCAAGACACCUGCUGCGCUGCUGCCUGGCCUGGAACUGCCUAGCAGUCUGGAUCACUGGUUGUGGACAGACGCAAAGACAUGACAUACACGAAAACUCAUCCUUUAUUCAUUCACAAAAGCAAUUGUUAACCAGGCCGGAUGUGUACUAGCCUGUUUCAGGAUGUCUCAACAACAAAUAACUCAGCUCUUUAAAAAAAAAAUCUUUUUUAAAACUCUUAUAACACACAAAACAGUCCUCUUGCUCUACUUCACAUUGUUUACACCCAAACAAACGUGCUGUUUAUUCGGUGGUCAGGGGGAUUGGUACAAACCGGGGAGCGCUCAGACUUAGAGCAACAACACAAUUUGCCCCACAGUUGUACAGGGACAGGAUCAGAUUUAUUGGUACGCAGGGCUACAAAAAUGGUCUUAAAAAGUUGUCUUAUUUUCCAAAAACAGAAGGUCUCUCUAUCUCGGUUCAGCAUGAAAGUUAAACCAAACUUUAGCACAUUAUUGGUAGAAAUGAAACAUAAUAUGGAUGGAUGGAUUUAAAUUUGUGUAUUUUUACCUCAGUAUAAAAAUAGUUAGGGCUCUGUUAGAAUGAGCCUUUGUGUCCCUUAAUUCCACAGAGGCCACCAUCUUACACGGCGUGUUUCUACAGUAGCACAGAACACACAUUAGCAAAGAGUAUGUGGGUUUCCAUACCAAAUGUGUGGCUGCUAAGAAAUCAGGACAGAGGACUACAGAAAAGAAGAGAGCAGUUGUUAUUGUUGUGGGAAAAGAAUUUCAAUGAUCAUUUCUGAUGGUAAAACUUCAUGAAUCCUAGAUCAUAUUGUUUUCCAUGAGGUUCUCACUGUGAGGUGGUUGAAUCGCUCCAUCGGUAAGAAACAGCAGGACUGAGGUGAAUAACUUUCUCAGAUGCACUUAACUGAAUUCAUAUUUCAUCACUUUACAACAACAGCCCUUUCUUGCCACUCAGUCACAUGUCACAUAACUAACCAAUCAGAGGCUACAAUGAUCGUACUGAAAACCACAGUUGUACAUAGGAUAUAUUUAGAGCUGAAGAUGCUUUCAACAAUAUUUAAUAUCUUACUCAACAAAAAUUAACUUUGUCAGCCUAUAUAUGUAAAUUUUUAAUUGAGUAAAACGUUGUAAACAUAUUUUUAACCUUAACAUAAAUACACAGAUUAAAUCUAAUUUUGAUUUGACUUUGCUGCUGAGGCUUACAUUUGGGAUGCAGAUGACUUUAUGCUGAAAGCUCCUCAUGUGUAGAGGGGAUGGUUUACGUCCAUAAUGGUUUGAUCACUGGCCAAAACCCUUUGCUGCAUGUCUUGUCCAUAUACAGUCCAUGGUCCUGUCCCACUCCCUAAUCCCUCCAUUUCCUGUCUCUCUUCAGCUGUCCUACUCAAUAAAGGCAAGACUGAAUGAACUUAAAUUAACUCUUUUCAAAAAAGCUUAUGUUUACCAUGCAUUAAAGGAGCUUAUUUACCUCAAAGGGCAUCACCACUCUACCAAUGGGGACCACGUAAGGGAUUGUUUCAAUCAAAGAUGUGACAGCUGGUUAUGGCAAAAUAUUCCCAUGUCUACACACUGUACCUUCAACCUUAGAGGAUAAUAGCUGGGAAGGAAUGAUUCAAAAGUUUGAUCAAAAUGCAUGAAAGUUUCUCUGCUAAACAUUCAACUAAAACUUUUUAAACCACUUUACCUACAUUGAUUAAAAAUUUCAAAACACAUUUUCCCCAAAAUAAAAGAUUAACCCCAAGGAAUAGUUGUUGGUUUAUUCAAGAACUAGUUUUUUCGGACUGCGUUAUUAAUCAUUCUGCAAAACUCCCCUGAUAACUGCAAUGAUGAUAAAGUAUGUUGAUGAUCCUCUCUUUGUUUCACUUACAAGCAUCCUUUAAUGCAUUAUUGUGUGAUUAAACAAAGCCCGAGUUAGAUCAGUGGUGAUUUGUCAAACAUGCAUGACUCAGAUUUUCCAGACAUGAAACACAGGGCUACUUAAGUGAAAUAUUACAGUGUUUAACUGCAACCAUCUGUGUUUGUUUGUCUGUGCGCACAUGCGAGUGUGAUGUAACAUUUAUCAUCUGUAAGGAUGCUUUGCAGCACGUGUGUGUGUGCUGACAUGGCAAAGAAUAUCUGAAAGUCUUAUCAGAGUAUCUGCUUCCACAUUAGGCGCUUUUAUUUUUGUAGAGUACCAGGUCUUGCCUGUUCAAACAAAGAUUAGUGGUGUUACCUACGUGAGAUGUGAAGGAGAUUUAGCAUUCCACCUUUUGCGCGUCACCAAAGGCCAGUGUUUUCAGCAGAACAGUCUAAGGGGUCAGACAGGAUUUCCCCCUUCAGCAGCAGUCAACUACGUAAAUAUGGACCUGAAAAAAACAAGCUUUUGGAGACAGGGUCACAGGAAACUCCAACAAAGACUUGAUGACGUUGUAUCUAUAAAUAAAAUGUAUUUCCCAUCAAUCACCUCAAGUUUCCUUAGGAGAGACUU